rnacentral:rRNA from 1 species
UACAGAGGUCUCGAGCGUUGUUCGGAUUCAUUGGGCGUAAAGGGUGCGUAGGCGGCGGGGUAAGUCUGAUGUGAAAUCCCGGGGCUCAACCCUGGAACUGCAUUGGAUACUGCUCUGCUUGAGUACUGGAGAGGAGACUGGAAUUUACGGUGUAGCAGUGAAAUGCGUAGAUAUCGUAAGGAAGACCAGUGGCGAAGGCGAAUCUCUGGACAGUUACUGACACUGAGGCUCGAAGGCCAGGGGAGCAAACGGG